GAUGAACGCUAGCGGCAGGCUUAAUACAUGCAAGUCGAGGGGCAGCGGGUGUAGCAAUACAUGCCGGCGACCGGCGCACGGGUGCGUAACGCGUAUGUAACCUACCUUUAACUGGAGGAUAGCCCCGAGAAAUCGGGAUUAAUACUCCAUAAAAUUAUGAGAAGGCAUCUUUUUAUAAUUAAAGCUCCGGCGGUUUUAGAUGGGCAUGCGUGACAUUAGCUAGUUGGUGAGGUAACGGCUCACCAAGGCUCCGAUGUCUAGGGGUUCUGAGAGGAUUAACCCCCACACUGGUACUGAGACACGGACCAGACUCCUACGGGAGGCAGCAGUAAGGAAUAUUGGGCAAUGGACGCAAGUCUGACCCAGCCAUGCCGCGUGAAGGAUGACGGCCCUAUGGGUUGUAAACUUCUUUUGUACGGGAAAAAACCUUCGAACGUGUUCGAAGCUGAUGGUACCGUAAGAAUAAGCAUCGGCUAACUCCGUG
rnacentral:rRNA from 2 species